rnacentral:rRNA from 1 species
GACGAACGCUGGCGGCGUGGAUUAGGCAUGCAAGUCGAACGGUAUCAUCCUUUCGGGGGUGAGAGAGUGGCGAACUGGUGAGUAACACGUAGGUUAUCUACCCUCAAGACGGGGACAACCCAGGGAAACUUGGGCUAAUACCGGAUGUGAGCUAACUUUUAGUUGUUUGAAAGGUGGCGUAAGCUGUCGCUUGGGGAUGAGCCUGCGUCCUAUUAGUUAGUUGGUGAGGUAACGGCUCACCUAGGCAAUGAUAGGUAGGCGGCCUUAACGGGUGGUCGCCCACACUGGGAUUGAGAUACGGCCCAGACUCCUACGGGAGGCAGCAGUCGAGAAUAGUCUAACAAUGGUCGGAAGACUGAUAGUGCGACGCCGCGUGAACGAUGAAUCCCUUCGGGUGUAAAGUUCUUUUAUAUGUGAGCAGUGCUUCUUAUAUUAACAGUAUGGGGAGAGAGAUAUUAGCAUAUGAAUAAGCAAACGGCUAACCUCCGUGCCAGCAGCCGACGGUAAAAUACC